rnacentral:tRNA from 1 species
GCAGUGGUGGUUCAGAGGUAGAACUCUCACCUUCCAUGCAGGAAACCUGAAUUGGAUUCUCAGCUAGUGUA